CAGCACCUCAAGUGGUCAGGAUGAUUAUUGGGCCUAAAGCAUCCGUAGCCGGCGCUGUAAGUUUUCGGUUAAAUCUGUACGCUCAACGUACAGGCUGCCGGGAAUACUGCAGCGCUAGGGAGUGGGAGAGGUAGACGGUACUCGGUAGGAAGGGGUAAAAUCCUUUGAUCUUUUGAUGACCACCUGUGGCGAAGGCGGUCUACCAGAACACGUCCGACGGUGAGGGAUGAAAGCUGGGGGAGCAAACCGGAUUAGAUACCCGAGUAGUCC
rnacentral:rRNA from 1 species